GGCAGGUAAUUUUUGUUGGUUGUAACCUUAUGCAAAUUAUAUAUAUCCUAAUUUGACUAGAAAAAAAAGAAUUUUAUAGGUAAAAUAACUCAAUAAAUAAAUUGUGAUAUUGAACUAUUUGUAAGUUUUUUCCUGAGAAGUUAAUUGAAUUUCAGUUAAGAUAUUUUUAUUUACUAAAAAAUAGCUGAAAGAUCUUUUUACAUAUAUAAAAUAUUUUAUAUUAAAAUAUUUAAAAAAAUUUA
rnacentral:lncRNA from 1 species